ensembl:miRNA
GAGCUGCUCGCUGUUCCUUUUUCCUAUGCAUAUACUUCUUUGAGGGUCAGGCCUAAAGAGGUGUAAGGCAUGGGAAAAUGGGGCAGCGAGGUCCUCCCC